rnacentral:rRNA from 1 species
GACGAACGCUGGCGGCGUGCUUAACACAUGCAAGUCGAGCGGUAAGGCCCUUUCGGGGUACGACGAGCGGCGAACGGGUGAGUAACACGUGGGUGACCUGCCCUCAGCUCUGGGAUAAGCCUGGGAAACCGGGUCUAAUACUGGAUAUGACUCCAUGACGCAUGUUGGUGGGGUGGAAAGCCUUGUGCGGCUGAGGAUGGGCCCGCGGCCUAUCAGCUUGUUGGUGGGGUGAGGCCUACCAAGGCGACGACGGGUAGCCGGCCUGAGAGGGCGACCGGCCACACUGGGACUGAGACACGGCCCAGACUCCUACGGGAGGCAGCAGUGGGGAAUCUUGCGCAAUGGGCGAAAGCCUGACGCAGCGACGCCGCGUGAGGGAUGACGGCCU